AAAAUACUUUGUUUCGGUGUUUCAAAUCCUGCAUGUGGGGAGGCAGCACCUAAGAAAACUCCUCUCCCUACUGAUUGUGUGCAACUUUUCUUUGCAAAUCCUGCUUAGAGCUGCCACCUCUAGGAAGCCUUGCUCCUGACUGUGAUCUGUCCUGUCUUUGAGCCUAAAUGGCUUUGGCAGACUCUGUCAUUGCUAAGGGUGGAUGUUUAUCCUCAGUCAUUAAGAGGAACCUCACUCACCUCUUUGGGCCUCAGAUCCUUUAGCUAUCAAAGGGAAUGAGGUCGACUCUGGCCCAGGAGUCUUGAUCCUAAGGGUGCAUAGGUAGUGUGCUGGUAGGGAUGAGUGGGGGUGCCAGGAAUGUCUGUUAUCUACAGGAUGUGAGGUAGACCUCUCCAUGGUUACUAACUGUGACUUCACAACAGUCCCUAAGUCAGGAACUAUCACCACUUUACAAAUGGCAAAGUGGGUGCUCAGAGAUAGCGAAUGAGUUGCCCAUGCUUGUCUGCUGGGCUUUGGACAACAAUGUGAGAUGGCAACUAUCAGGAACAGCAGCCCCUUGAAUGAAUGUCCUUCAUCCUCAAAUUUCUCUCAGAGGGUCGUAGUGACGGGCCAGGUGGAUGUUCAACAAACAUUCAAAUCUGAGCAAGAACUGGUAGAAAUCAGAGACAACGAAACAGUCACAAGGACUUCAGAUAUUGGAAUCAUUAAACAUAGACUGAAACAA